GGGUUGUGAGGUUAAGCGACUAAGCGUACACGGUGGAUGCCCUGGCAGUCAGAGGCGAUGAAGGGCGUGCUAAUCUGCGAUAAGCGCCGGUAAGGUGAUAUGAACCGUUAUAACCGGCGAUACCCGAAUGGGGAAACCCAGUGUGACUCGUCACACUAUCAUUAACUGAAUCCAUAGGUUAAUGAGGCGAACCGGGGGAACUGAAACAUCUAAGUACCCCGAGGAAAAGAAAUCAACCGAGAUUCCCCCAGUAGCGGCGAGCGAACGGGGAGGAGCCCAGAGCCUGAAUCAGCAUGUGUGUUAGUGGAAGCGUCUGGAAAGGCGCGCGAUACAGGGUGACAGCCCCGUACACAAAAGCGCAUGUGCUGUGAGCUCGAUGAGUAGGGCGGGACACGUGGUAUCCUGUCUGAAUAUGGGGGGACCAUCCUCCAAGGCUAAAUACUCCUGACUGACCGAUAGUGAACCAGUACCGUGAGGGAAAGGCGAAAAGAACCCCGGCGAGGGGAGUGAAAAAGAACCUGAAACCGUGUACGUACAAGCAGUGGGAGCACAGGUUUACCUGUGUGACUGCGUACCUUUUGUAUAAUGGGUCAGCGACUUAUAUUCUGUAGCAAGGUUAACCGUAUAGGGGAGCCGUAGGGAAACCGAGUCUUAACCGGGCGUUAAGUUGCAGGGUAUAGACCCGAAACCCGGUGAUCUAGCCAUGGGCAGGUUGAAGGUUGGGUAACACUAACUGGAGGACCGAACCGACUAAUGUUGAAAAAUUAGCGGAUGACCUGUGGCUGGGGGUGAAAGGCCAAUCAAACCGGGAGAUAGCUGGUUCUCCCCGAAAGCUAUUUAGGUAGCGCCUCGUGAAUUCAUCUCCGGGGGUAGAGCACUGUUUCGGCUAGGGGGCCAUCCCGGCUUACCAACCCGAUGCAAACUGCGAAUACCGGAGAAUGUUAUCACGGGAGACACACGGCGGGUGCUAACGUCCGUCGUGAAGAGGGAAACAACCCAGACCGCCAGCUAAGGUCCCAAAGUC
rnacentral:rRNA from 1 species